rnacentral:rRNA from 1 species
AACGAACGCUGGCGGCAUGCCUAACACAUGCAAGUCGAACGAGACCUUCGGGUCUAGUGGCGCACGGGUGCGUAACGCGUGGGAACCUGCCCUUAGGUUCGGAAUAACUCCCCGAAAGGGGUGCUAAUACCGGAUAAUGUCUUCGGACCAAAGAUUUAUCGCCUUUGGAUGGGCCCGCGUUGGAUUAGCUAGUUGGUAGGGUAAAAGCCUACCAAGGCGACGAUCCAUAGCUGGUCUGAGAGGAUGAUCAGCCACACUGGGACUGAGACACGGCCCAGACUCCUACGGGAGGCAGCAGUGGGGAAUAUUGGACAAUGGGCGAAAGCCUGAUCCAGCAAGGCCGCGUGAGUGAUGAAGGCCUUAGGGUUGUAAAGCUCUUUUACCCGGGAUGAUAAGGACAGUACCGGGAGAAUAAGCUCCGGCGAACUCCGU